GUGGGGAAGUUUUCCGCAAUGGGCGAAAGCCUGACGGAGCAAUGCCGCGUGGAGGUGGAAGGCCUACGGGUCGUCAACUUCUUUUCUCGGAGAAGAAACAAUGACGGUAUCUGAGGAAUAAGCAUCGGCUAACUCUGUGCCAG
rnacentral:rRNA from 1 species